rnacentral:tRNA from 1 species
ACCUGGGUGGCUCAGUCGGUUGAGCAACUGACUUCAGCUCAGGUCAUGAUCUCACGGUUUGUGGGUUCGAGCCCCGCGUCAGCUG